rnacentral:rRNA from 1 species
UACGAAGGGGGCUAGCGUUGCUCGGAAUUACUGGGCGUAAAGCGCACGUAGGCGGACUCUUAAGUCGGUGGUGAAAUCCUGGAGCUCAACUCCAGAACUGCCUUCGAUACUGAGAGUCUUGAGUCCGGGAGAGGUGAGUGGAACUGCGAGUGUAGAGGUGAAAUUCGUAGAUAUUCGCAAGAACACCAGUGGCGAAGGCGGCUCACUGGCCCGGUACUGACGCUGAGGUGCGAAAGCGUGGGGAGCGAACAGG